AUGAAAGGUCUGGGGAAAGAAAGAGGUCUGGGUGCUAAAAAACAUUGGCAAGUUAGGAAACUAUGGCACAGCGUAAUUUCUGUAUUGUGUUUGUAUUUCAGAUGUCUUUGGUGCUUGAUUCAGAAUAUGUCCAGAUACAUCACAGACAUUAAGCCUUUGCCGCCCAACAUAAAAGAUAGACUGAUUAAAAUAAUGAGUGUACUGGGACGGAUAACAGAUUCAAAUAUAAAUGAGAUUUUACAUCCCGAAGUCCAAACUCUGAAUCUACAGAGUUGUGAUGUCUCUGAUACUGCUCUCCUGCACCUGUGUAACUGCAGAAAACUGAAGAAACUAAAUUUAAAUUGCUUAAAAGGAAACAGAGUUUCCAUAACUUCUGAAGGUAUGUUUGUUAUCACUGAAUAAAGGGGUGGGUGGCUGUAGCUGAUGGUAUCAUUUUGGAGUAAAGAAGGGGAAACUGUCAGGAGAUGAUGAUGUCAGCGAAAUAGGGAUGACAUUUAUCCAUAAAAGUAUUCAGACAGAGAGAAAAAUGACCCAAGUUAGAAUUCGUAUGCAAAAUCAGUUAAAUAUCUAGGGUGGUUCAGUGCCUUGUAUUUUAAACAUUUAAAUUAAACAUGGAGGCACAUCUCUACCCUUGAAAUAUUUUGCUGGAAACAUAAAGGAGAAAUUACCCAUUCAUCUUCAGAUAAGGUUCUUUUGAUAUAUUACAGCAGAAUUAAUCAUAAGAUUAAUCAGGCACUCUCCUACCAUCCCGUGCAAUGUGUAAUUUUUUGGUAGACAAACUAUAUUUUUCAGGGCUACUAUUGCAUGAUUUAGUGAAUUUUUAACUUUUUCUCCAGUAUAGUUGUUCUGUCUUUCAAGACAGGAUUUCUCUCUUGUUUUCAGAAUAAAAACGAUGUACUUCUUUAGCUGAGUAGGUUUCUAGAAAUGCUGUGGGUAGUUGGCUGUUCCCUGCAGUCAUGUUGGUUAGGAGCAAGGUCAUCAUAAUAUUGCAAAUGUGGAGGGUGUGGAUUUGGAUUAAACUGUGGAACUCCUGGCAGCCGUUGGAGAGUGGAAAUUCCUUGGUGUGGAAAAAGCCGUGCAUUUACAGUCAGGAAGUUUAUGUGUUAUCAGAGUUAGUUGUUUGCGAAGUAAAUUUGAAAACCUAGAAAACUAAUGAGCAAAAGCAGUCAAGUUAGUAUAAUAAUUGAGAACCAAGAAGCAUAAUUAGAGGCCUAGUUUUGUCAGAAAGCUGUGUUCGGGAGUGUGUGUUAGAAUCCUUUUUAUCAGUGUGGCUACAGAUGUGUUAAAGGAGUGAAAGUGACUGAAAAUUUACAAUAGCUGUGGUCAGAAGUGUGAAGAAAGUGUAGCAGUUGACAAGCCAUUUGGUCACUUUCCGAGUACUCGGCAUUCUUAGGAUAACAGUUAUGAUUGACGUUAUUAUAGCAGGAUCAUUAGGCUUUCCUUGCUGUCUCCCCCGAGUGUGCUUGACACUUCAUGUCACUACAAAGAAUAGCAUUGGCUAAAGGUGGCUGUCAUUCUAAUAGUCUUGGCUUGGGAUACAUCGGUGUGGUGAGGGGUUUUACCUCACUGUGUUCUUGGGGAACAUAAAUGCACUUAACAUCAAAAGAGGUCAGCAGUAACUAGCUCCACAGUCACACACAAGUCCUUAUGUAGCCAAACGGCUUCUACUUUCAAGAGGAAGUGAGACUGUAACAGGUCUGCAUGGGCCAGACGCAGACCAGGUUUUAAGUAGCACGAUGGAGCAAGGGAUCUGUUUCUAUUUCAUGGCACUGAACACAAAUGCCUAAAGUUGUGUGGACUUUUUAUAUGUGUAAGGUCCAGACGCCGCGCGUGCUACAUGAAUGAACACGUUUUGGUUACGGUGCCUAUACUAACCAUGUGUGCGUCUAAGUCUGAGAACUUAUCAGUAUUGAGACAAACUUAUCAGUAUUGAGACGGCUCAGUGCACGCGCCUCCAGUCCCAAAUGCAAGGCUGUUACAUAUGCUGGGAUCUAACGUAAAAGUUGUCCAUCGAGCCAGAGUAUAAACUGACGCUCUUGA
ensembl:lincRNA